rfam:Callithrix jacchus chromosome 22, whole genome shotgun sequence
UCUCACGCUGUGACGCUCUAAAGGAAAACACUUUCUGUUAGAAAGAAAUGAAUGUGUUUUCCUUUAGAGAGUCGCCGUUUGAGA